rnacentral:tRNA from 30 species
GGUGGUUGUAGCUCAGCUGGUUAGAGCGCUGGAUUGUGGUUCCAGAGGUCGCCGGUUCGAACCCGGUCUUCCACCC